rnacentral:rRNA from 1 species
CCAACAGGGAUUGCCUCAGUAACGGCGAGUGAAGCGGCAAAAGCUCAAAUUUGAAAUCUGGCAUCUUUGGUGUCCGAGUUGUACUUUGGAGAGGCAUCUUCUGGAGGGGCCCAGCCUAUGUGCCUUGGAACAGGACGUCAUAGAGGGUGAGAAUCCCGUCCUUGGCUGGAUGUUCCCUCCUGUAUGUAGUGUCUUCUACGAGUCGAGUUGUUUGGGAAUGCAGCUCAAAAUGGGUGGUAAAUUUCAUCUAAAGCUAAAUAUUGGCGAGAGACCGAUAGCGCACAAGUAGAGUGAUCGAAAGAUGAAAAGCACUUUGAAAAUAGAGUCAAACAGUACGUGAAAUUGUUGAAAGGGAAGCGCUUGAGACCAGAGUCAGCCAUUGGCAAACAACUGUCCAUUUAGGGGUGGUGCACUUGUUAUUGGUUGGGCCAGCAUCGGUUGGGACGGCAGGAUAAAGGCUCGGGGAAUGUGACUCCUUCAUGGAGUGUUAUAGUCCUGGGCGGCAU